GGAGGAGUGGAUCUGGGGGGAUGACUCACCAGCUCAGGUGAUGAGUGAUCUGUUAGCUUGCUAGUGCCUAUGGAGAGGUGUAAAUUGGGCAAGAGGCAAUGUGUUUGUCAGUGAAAGCCACAAAAUUCAUGUGAACAUGUGACCUUUGCGUCAGCUUUGUUUAAUAAAGUUUAUCUUUCUGUUAUCAGCCAUGGCAAAUCUGUUUAGAAGAGGAUGAUUCUCAAGAGUCUUGAAUGUCAAUCUGGUAUGCUGGAUCAAAAUCAAAAGCAAGAAGGAUGAUACCAAGAGUAGAAGGGAUUGUCAAUAAUUAUAUUUUCAUUUUGCAUGUUGAAACUAAAGCCUGGUUGAUAAGAAAUCAAAGAGAGAUUGAAAAGUCAUGAGAAGUAAGAUGAGAUUUUAAAAGCAAGAAUGUAACAGUAAAAGAGAGAGUAUUGUGCAAGACCUGGAUCUUUCCCAAAGUAACAGAGUGAAGUUUGAGUAAUGGGAUGGGUUCUAAAUUGUGGGACUUACACUUUGAUGGGUCAAGUAGUGGAAAGUUUGGAAUGAGUAUAGGCAUUGUUUUACAAGGACACUAGGAUAAAAAAACAUAUGACAUUGAAAAAAUUAGAAAAGAACACAUCUUGUAAACAAACCAAAUACAACAUCCUAGCUCAAGGAUUAGAGGUAGCUUAACAAAUUGGAGUUGAAAACGUAUUAGUGCAAAGAGGCUCAAAGUUAGUUUGUCAACAAGGGGUUGGAGAUUAGUAAGUCAAGUUUGAUGGCUUACAACCAUUGCACCAAAAGGUUUUAGAACUAAAGAGUAGAUUUAAUACUUUUUCUAUCAGCCAUAUUUAUAAAACAGAAAACCAAUUAGUUGACUAGUUAGCAAAAACAUCUAGUCUUCUAUGUUUUGAAUUCAAGGCAUUUCAUACUAAGCCAAGGCGGUUUUUGGAUCAACAUCAACCACCACUACCACCACCAUUGGAUGUGAUUGAUGACCAAUAAGAGUAUAAAGUGGACAACAUUUUGGAGUAUUGUUGCCUUUCCUAU
rnacentral:lncRNA from 1 species